rnacentral:rRNA from 2 species
CAAAACGACUCUCGGCAACGGAUAUCUCGGCUCUUGCAUCGAUGAAGAACGUAGCGAAAUGCGAUACGUGGUGUGAAUUGCAGAAUCCCGUGAACCAUCGAGUUUUUGAACGCAAGUUGCGCCCGAAGCCUCUCGGGGUUGAGGGCACGUCUGCCUGGG